rnacentral:rRNA from 1 species
GUGCCAGCAGCCGCGGUAAUACGUAGGGUGCGAGCGUUGUCCGGAAUUAUUGGGCGUAAAGAGCUCGUAGGCGGCUUGUCGCGUCGGAUGUGAAAGCCCGGGGCUUAACUCCGGGUCUGCAUUCGAUACGGGCAGGCUAGAGUGUGGUAGGGGAGAUCGGAAUUCCUGGUGUAGCGGUGAAAUGCGCAGAUAUCAGGAGGAACACCGGUGGCGAAGGCGGAUCUCUGGGCCAUUACUGACGCUGAGGAGCGAAAGCGUGGGAGCGAACAGGAUUAGAUACCCUGGUAGUCCACGCCGUAAACGUUGGGAACUAGGUGUGGGUGACAUUCCACGUUGUCCGUGCCGCAGCUACGCAUU